rnacentral:lncRNA from 1 species
AAUAAAUAUAAAAGAUAUUAUGCUUUCUUCAAGCUGAGAAAAAUCAUUAAAUGUUUACACUCCUAUCGGUUGGUUCAACGCUGGGUGAACUGGCAUCCAUGCAGAGAAGGACUGAUGUCUCUUUCAAGACACUGCUGGAAUUCGUCCAUAAAGUUGAUGGUCUGACAUGGAGAUGAUUUGGAUUCAGGCUUGAGUGCUUCUAAACGCUACCUUCUUCUCGCAAUGUUGUAAUGUGAAAGGACAUAUCCGUGCUUUCAAUUGGCUGUAUUGAAUUUAGCACUAAAUGCCACAAAUCGGGUGUGAGUUAUUAGAAGCUCGUAACCAAAAUCUCUCCAUCAAACACAGCCUUAC